ACUGACACUGACACUGAGGUGCGAAAGCGUGGGUAGCAAACAGGAUUAGAUACCCUGGUAGUCCACGCCGUAAACGAUGUCGACCAGCCGUUGGGUGCCUAGCGCACUUUGUGGCGAAGUUAACGCGAUAAGUCGACCGCCUGGGGAGUACGGCCGCAAGGUUAAAACUCAAAUGAAUUGACGGGGGCCCGCACAAGCGGUGGAGCAUGUGGUUUAAUUCGAUGCAACGCGAAGAACCUUACCUACUCUUGACAUCCUGCGAAUUCGGUAGAGAUACCUUAGUGCCUUCGGGAACGCAGAGACAGGUGCUGCAUGGCUGUCGUCAGCUCGUGUUGUGAAAUGUUGGGUUAAGUCCCGUAACGAGCGCAACCCUUGUCCUUAUUUGCCAGCGCGUAAUGGCGGGAACUUUAAGGAGACUGCCGGUGACAAACCGGAGGAAGGUGGGGACGACGUCAAGUCAUCAUGGCCCUUACGAGUAGGGCUACACACGUGCUACAAUGGUCGGUACAAAGGGUUGCCAACUCGCGAGAGUGAGCCAAUCCCGAAAAGCCGAUCUCAGUCCGGAUCGGAGUCUGCAACUCGACUCCGUGAAGUCGGAAUCGCUAGUAAUCGUGGAUCAGAAUGCCACGGUGAAUACGUUCCCGGGCCUUGUACACACCGCCCGUCACACCAUGGGAGUGGACUGCACCAGAAGUGGUUAGCCUAACGCAAGAGGGCGAUCACCACGGUGUGGUUCAUGACUGGGGUGAAGUCGUAACAAGGUAACCGUA
rnacentral:rRNA from 1 species